rnacentral:rRNA from 1 species
GUCGAAUGACUUGGAAAAGUCAGUCAAAGAGGGUAAAAACCCCGUAGAUGAAAUUUGGAAGGCACCUAGGAGGAUCCUGAGUACGGCGGAACACGAGGAAUUCCGUCGGAAUCCGGGAGGACCAUCUCCCAAGGCUAAAUACUCCCUAGUGACCGAUAGUGAACCAGUACCGUGAGGGAAAGGUGAAAAGCACCCCGGAAGGGGAGUGAAAUAGAACCUGAAACCGUGUGCCUACAACAAGUCAAAGCCCGUUAAUGGGUGAUGGCGUGCCUUUUGUAGAAUGAACCGGCGAGUUACGAUUGCAUGCGAGGUUAAGUUGAAGAGACGGAGCCGCAGCGAAAGCGAGUCUGAAUAGGGCGUUUGAGUAUGUAGUCGUAGACCCGAAACCAUGUGAUCUACCCAUGUCCA